CGUCCUCCAUAGGAGGUCUAUAUUGAGCAGAUUCUUUUUGGUAUUGGGUGGUGGAACCGGAGCGUGCUCCAUCCACUCCAUGCAUUGACCUGGUAUUGCAGUGCUUCCAGGACCGGUGC
rnacentral:snRNA from 1 species